rnacentral:rRNA from 1 species
AGAGCGAACGCUGGCGGCAUGCUUAACACAUGCAAGUCGCACGGGCAUUUCGGUGUCAGUGGCGGACGGGUGAGUAACGCGUAGGUAUCUAUCCUUGGGUGGGGGACAACGGUUGGAAACGACUGCUAAUACCGCAUGAUAACUGAGGUUUAAAGGCGCAAGUCGCCUGGGGAGGAGCCUGCGUACGAUUAGCUAGUUGGUGGGGUAAAGGCCUACCAAGGCGACGAUCGUUAGCUGGUCUGAGAGGAUGAUCAGCCACAUUGGGACUGAGACACGGCCCAAACUCCUACGGGAGGCAGCAGUGGGAAUAUUGGACAAUGGGCGAAAGCCUGAUCCAGCAAUGCCGCGUGUGUGAAGAAGGUCUUCGGAUUGUAAAGCACUUUCGACAGGGACGAUGAUGACGGUACCUGUAGAAGAAGCCCCGGCUAACUUCGUGCCAGCAGCCGC